rnacentral:tRNA from 1 species
AGGAAGUGUUUUAACAAGUAAGCACUGCUAAUUCUUACAUCCAAGGUUAAAGUCCGUGGCUUCCUC